rnacentral:rRNA from 1 species
AUUGAACGCUGGCGGAAUGCUUUACACAUGCAAGUCGAACGGUAGAGGGGGCAACCCCUCGAGAGUGGCGAACGGGUGAGUAAUAUAUCGGAACGUGCCCAGUCGUGGGGGAUAACGUAGCGAAAGUUACGCUAAUACCGCAUACGAUCUAAGGAUGAAAGCGGGGGAUCGCAAGACCUCGCGCGAUUGGAGCGGCCGAUAUCGGAUUAGGUAGUUGGUGGGGUAAAGGCUCACCAAGCCAACGAUCUGUAGCUGGUCUGAGAGGACGACCAGCCACACUGGAACUGAGACGCGGCCCAGACUCCUACGGGAGGCAGCAGUGGGGAAUUUUGGACAAUGGGCGCAAGCCUGAUCCAGCCAUGCCGCGUGAGUGAAGAAGGCCUUCGGGUUGUAAAGCUCUUUUGUCUGGGAGCAAACCUUGGUGGUUAAUACCUGCCAAGCUGAGAGUACCGGAAGAAUAGGCACCGGCUAACUACGUGCCAGCCGCCGCAGUAA